GAAACGCACGCUGUAAUACCCAGUCACUCACAGACACAGAGGGCGAGAGACACAGGAACAGAAUACUGGACAUGCUACUGGAGCAGGAUUUUUCUUUUUGUUUGCCUUAAAUGAAAAAGGAGCUUGAAAGAGACAUUUCUUGCAUGUCUGAGCAGCAGACGGCUAGACGGCAGCAAUCUGCUAGAGCAGGCUCAUGUGCUAGCCCGAAUUAUCCAUUCAACAAAGCCUGAGCUAGCAGCACUAAAAUCUUCCCCUAUUCUUCUCUCCAGCAUUCAUUUUUUUCUCCCCUCUCUCUCUCCGAUUUGUGCCCUGCUACAUCCUCUCUCCCUUUGCUAGGCUGACCGGCACAGGCGUACAGAGAAGACUGCGGCAGCCUCCGCCACCUCGGUCAGCUGGAGCUUGCUACACUCGCUGCUGCACACCGCCGCCAUCUUGUUACUGCCUGUGCUACUGGUCUGCCUGCCUUUGCUGCACUCAAACCAAAUCAUCAAACUCAGCCUGCGGUUGUUUCCAUGCCACUCCUGUUUGUGCGCAGCUUUGUCACAACACAGUGCUGCGCACCAGCUACCGGACGCAUGUCGUUGCUGCACAGACGCACCUGGAACUUUUAUCUGGGUGUUUCUUUAAUAGCUGCCACAGAUUGGAUGCUGCAGACGGUGUUGUCAGCAUCUCUCAAACCAUCAGUAAGAUCUGUACCAUUGUAACACACACUAUGCCCGAUGUAGAUUUAGCUAAGGACUUGACAUGCCGUACACCAUUAAAACAAGUAAAAAUAAGUGAAAUGUUAUUUUACAAAUUUACAAAUGAUUCAAAGUGGCAUGUCUUCUUCGCAGGAUUUAAGAAAAUUGCUCCCGUCGAAGAAAAUCAAUAACCACAAUCUGUCCCUUAUUCUGUGUAUAUAUUUCUCUCCAGAGCCCAUAUGCCUGAGCACAUAUACUGUAUAUGCUAUCUUUGUGAGCUUGUGUGCUGUAAAGAGAGGGUGGGAAAGAGAAAGGAGGGGAGUGAGAGAGAAAGAGAGGAAUCAAGCGUCGGUAAGAAAGUCUUCCUAAUUCUGUUUGGCAGAAACUGUGCUGUUUAACCAUAUGUGCAGAGAGCAGGCUUUGCACAUGCUCAGAAUGACUCAGAGGACACGACUUUCACAUGUCUCAACGCAAUUAGAUUAACUAAUAGAUAAUUUUCCAGCAAAUAUAAAUAAGUUACAGUGAAGUCAUAAAUAAUUUAAAAAGUGUGCACUCUACCUUGAAUUAUUUUUGUUGUACUCACAGUAUGAGGUUAAAACAUGGGCAUUAGAAGGAGAGCGGGAUACAAACACAGCAAGUAUAUUCCAGCUUAUGGAAAUCUUAUUCCUGCAUUUAACUGUGCUUUGGUGCAAAACAAGUGGAAGUGUGUAGGUGGAGGCCACAGUGAUACAGCAGUGAGUUCAGAAGGUCUUCAAUCCUCUAAGACUAUAUGCCAAGAAGACACCAUGCUAAUGAAAUCAUAAAGACGGUGAAGAAAACAAGCUGUCCCUGGAGAAUACAUCCAUGCAUCGGAGGUUGCCAGUUUUACUUUACUUGCUUCUGGGUAUGCAUGUACUGUAGCUUUGCAGUGAUACUGUAUUUAUAAGGUCAAAGGCUGCUUUGCUUCAGGGUUAAAAUGCUCUCAGCCUUUAUCUUAUGAUUACCUUCAUCAGGUCAGUGAAGAUCACCCUUUGCCCCACCAGCUGAGUGGGACAGCGGGUUACAAGAGGUAUGCAAAUCACAGUAAUAUUUAUUAUGUAUAACAAGGAAGAAAAUGUAAAAAAGAAGAAGAGUUUAAAUCACUGCUGAUAUUCCUAUGAAAUACAGGGUACAAUUAGAAUGAGAUAGAAAUGAUCAAGAUGCAAUUAACGUUCAUACUUUAAAUAUUGGACAGAAAUAUGACGUUGAAUAAUUUUGGCCACUUUUAUACACAGUCCGCCAUCUUUAGGUGCUUAAAUGCAGUCGAACGAACGCUCGUUAUAAGUUGGGGGCGGUUACAGUUACAGAACCAGCAGUUCUGGCCUAUUCAGAGAGCUCAGGUGGUGGAGCAGGUGGUGGAGCAGGUUUGGGCAGGACACUGAACCCCUAGUUGCUCUCGAUGGCAGAUGAGCUGUCUGAACACGUGUGGCCUAUAAAUGCCGAUCGUCUAAAAUUUGUACUUUUAAUACUUUGUCAGGAAUCAUUUGCGGGCAGUCUGAUUUCUGAAACCUUUGGAUAUUAAUGCUUCUGCGUUUCUGCAGUUGUUUGUUUACGCGUCUUGUUAUCAGGGAGUGAAAUUCAUACUCAGUCAGACUGAGAUUGGCCGAGAAAGUUAAAUCGUCUGCAUCAUGGUUGACUAUAAUCAAUGCUGACAUUGCUUGUUGUCCUCAUUGUGUAAGGACGGAAUCAUUAGAAACACCAAGUAACAGCGUAUUACGUAGAGAGCAAAGAAUUCGUAGUUUAUCGAGCUACCAGGUCUCACGCAGAGUUAACUUUGAAUUGAUGAUUAAAAGCAAACAAUAGUCAACUGAUAGUUUUCAUGAAUGUUAUUAAUCUAGUUUAAAAUUUCAAAUUCAGUUGGAGUUUCAGAGACUUCAGAGCAGAUCGCUGAAACAAUACCGAAGCAAUAUUGCUGCAUUUUAAAUCCGUCCGUCCAAGUCAUCUUUAGGCAAAAUGCAGGAUAUACUGUGGACUCAUUACCAGUCUAUCACGUGGCUAAUACAGAACACUUGCAGUCCAUCAGCUAAGAAUGGCUGCAUGAUUAAAUCCCAUUUAGAGGAAUUAUUCACUGUCAAAAAGUCCAAUUUAUGCAGAAAGCACAUAAGAGCAAAUAUGAAUUUCUUACUGGAAGGUAAGCUCCAUACUGGAACAUCACAAUACAAGUUCAGAGAGCCUGUCCAAUGAAAUAAUUCAUUAUAAUCCAAAGUGAGCCUUCAUCAGCCUGGGAGUUGUCCUGCUAUGUUUUUAUUAUCCAGUUAACAGAAAUAAAGCCCUCAACUCUCCGGCUUGAGUAAUGACGUAAGCAGUUAACGAUUGGAAGAAUUUCUUUUUGGACAAGAGCGGAGGACGUUGAUCAUUCAGGGUCAACAAUGAGCGCCUCAUUUGUUCUUUUUUUCCCCAUUUGUAGUAUAAAUAGAAGCAGUUCAGCCUUCAGUGGAGAGUUUGUGGAGCAUACUUACUGAGUGUCGAAUGCAAAGAUGUUGCAUUCUUUAUUAUUCCAUAUCAACUGUCCUGGAAUCCGUUACACCAUUUCCCAGAAUUGCAGUCCAAAAAGUAUGUAAAUCCCAGCUGGGAAUGGGUGUAGAAUCCCAAGGUUUGUGCACGUGACAUGAACUAUUCAUUCUUCCUCUUUUUCUGUCAAAGCAUGACUUCUUAAAAAGAGUUACAGGUGUAUCUGGGCCCACCUUCUUGUUACAUAUAUAUAAUGCACAGCUGUCAAAAGUAAAUAAAGUAGAAAUCACAAACGUCCUUUGUCAGGUGUUCACAUUUAAUUGCUCCUUCAGAAAUAAAUGCAAAAUCUUUGGAAAACAGGAUAAUCUGCUAACAAGUGCCAUUUCCUUACCCAGAGGACCCAUACUUGAGACUUUGUUUCUCCCAGAAUACAAUGUUUCCUCAUUUUCAGUGAGGAACCAACCAAAAACCAAAAGGUUUUGACAUUCAUUGUUCUCCCAGAAGAUGCAUCUGCAGGCAAUCCCUAACUUUCUCCUCUAGUGCUACCAGCACAAUGAUGUACAGGUGUAUGUGGUUUUAAAAUUCAUAAGUCACCAAAUACUGGAUGGAUUUCCAUUAAAGUUUGUGCCGAUAUUCAUAUCCUUCAGUGUACCUGUCUGCAUUUUUUUAAAAAGUGUCCUGUGUUCCAGUAUUUUGGCUUGCGAUUAAACAACUGCAAAGCUAGUGAUUUGCUGCAUUACUUACAUAUUGCAGUCAUGAAUAAGAGAAGAGACUAGUCUUUCCUGGUAGACUGCAGUGAAUUAUCUUCACAGCAGCAGAGUAGACAUAGAUUGCAUGACAUGGUGCAGUUUACACAUGGAAUGCAGAAAGAUUUCAGGCACUGAGUGAUGAAGGCCAGAUGUUUGAGUUAUGCAUAGGAAGUCAGUGGCCUACAGUUGGUACUGUAUGAAGCGAUGAUGCCAGAAACCAUCGCCGGCAUAUACCAUGUAAUUAAAUUUAAGGAAGCCCACUCACAUAUUACAGCUUGUAUAUAAACGCAAUACAUGUUCCAGGUUUGAAAA